GUGCCCGGUGGCCCAGGAGGGCCUGGGAGCCCGAAGCCGUCCCCGAGUCGCUCCUAGGUCACUGGCGCGAUGCGGGCCGUCCUCUCGGCUGAUGGGUUGGAAGCCCAGCGAGGCUAGAGGCCAGUCCCAAAGUUUCCAGGCAUCAGGGCUGCAGCCCAGGAGCCUCAAGGCGGCCCGGCGGGCGACUGGACGGCCGGACAGGUGAGCUCUUGAUCGUCCGCGGCCUGAUAGUUUGCACUUGGCUCUCCCACUUUGGGGCUCCGUGGAAGCCACGUCAGAGAGGCUGUGUUUGUGUCUGAGCAUGCAUGCGAGUGGAGGGGAGUGGUGUCUCCAUGCUGGCCUCCCCGCCUCAGGGCUUCAUCCCACUCCGUGGGCCUGAUCUCCCUGGGGCACCUGGGAUGUCCAUCUGCGUUAGCUGGAGCUACUCCAUGGCCUGUGGCGUGCCACACACAGCGGCAUUUCGGUGUCAUUAGGCACAGCUGGAGGUGCAAGGAGGAGGGCAGCCUCAUGUCCAGUUCCAUGUAACUUGCUUCUUCUGAAUAAAGGCAAUUUGCU
rnacentral:lncRNA from 1 species